rnacentral:rRNA from 1 species
GACGAACGCUGGCGGCGUGCUUAACACAUGCAAGUCGAGCGGUAAGGCCCUUUCGGGGGUACACGAGCGGCGAACGGGUGAGUAACACGUGGGUGACCUGCCUUCAGCUCUGGGAUAAGCCUGGGAAACUGGGUCUAAUACCGGAUAUGACUCCAUGAUGCAUGUUGUGGGGUGGAAAGCUUUUGCGGCUGGAGAUGGGCCCGCGGCCUAUCAGCUUGUUGGUGGGGUGANGGCCUACCAAGGCGACGACGGGUAGCCGGCCUGAGAGGGCGACCGGCCACACUGGGACUGAGACACGGCCCAGACUCCUACGGGAGGCAGCAGUGGGGAAUCUUGCGCAAUGGGCGAAAGCCUGACGCAGCGACGCCGCGUGAGGGAUGACGGCCUGGU